rnacentral:rRNA from 1 species
AGAGUUUGAUCAUGGCUCAGGAUGAACGCUAGCGGCAGGCUUAAUACAUGCAAGUCGAACGGCAGCACAGUGUAGCAAUACAUGGGUGGCGAGCGGCGCACGGGUGCGUAACACGUAUGCAACUUACCCAUAACCGGGGCAUAGCUCAGAGAAAUCUGAGAUAAUUCCCCAUAUCAUCCCGAGGGGGCAUCCUCUUGGGAUCAAAGUUUUUUCGGUUAUGGAUGGGCAUGCGCCCGAUUAGCUAGUUGGCGAGGUAACGGCUCACCAAGGCAACGAUCGGUAGGGGGUCUGAGAGGAUGAUCCCCCACACGGGUACUGAGACACGGACCCGACUCCUACGGGAGGCAGCAGUAAGGAAUAUUGGACAAUGGUCGAAAGGCUGAUCCAGCCAUGCCGCGUGAAGGAUGAAGGCCCUACGGGUUGUAAACUUCUUUUCUACAAGAAAAAACUCCUGGUUUCGUACCGGGACUGAUGUACUGUAGAAUAGC